UGGUGGAGCGAUUUGUCUGGUUUAUUCCGAUAACGAACGAGACUCUAACCUACUAAAUAGUGACUGAAUACGACCGGUUCAGUUCGCUUCUUAGAGGGAUAAGUGGUGUUCAGCCACAUGAAAAGGAGCAAUAACA
rnacentral:rRNA from 1 species